AGCGUACACGGUGGAUGCCCUGGCAGUCAGAGGCGAUGAAGGACGUGCUAAUCUGCGAUAAGCGUCGGUGAGGUGAUAUGAACCGUUAUAACCGGCGAUUUCCGAAUGGGGAAACCCAGUGUGUUUCGACACACUAUCAUUAACUGAAUCCAUAGGUUAAUGAGGCGAACCGGGGGAACUGAAACAUCUAAGUACCCCGAGGAAAAGAAAUCAACCGAGAUUCCCCCAGUAGCGGCGAGCGAACGGGGAGGAGCCCAGAGCCUGAAUCAGUGUGUGUGUUAGUGGAAGCGUCUGGAAAGGCGUGCGAUACAGGGUGACAGCCCCGUACACAAAAAUGCACAUAUUGUGAGCUCGAUGAGUAGGGCGGGACACGUGGUAUCCUGUCUGAAUAUGGGGGGACCAUCCUCCAAGGCUAAAUACUCCUGACUGACCGAUAGUGAACCAGUACCGUGAGGGAAAGGCGAAAAGAACCCCGGCGAGGGGAGUGAAAAAGAACCUGAAACCGUGUACGUACAAGCAGUGGGAGCCUCUUAAUGGGGUGACUGCGUACCUUUUGUAUAAUGGGUCAGCGACUUAUAUUCUGUAGCAAGGUUAACCGAAUAGGGGAGCCGAAGGGAAACCGAGUCUUAACUGGGCGUUAAGUUGCAGGGUAUAGACCCGAAACCCGGUGAUCUAGCCAUGGGCAGGUUGAAGGUUGGGUAACACUAACUGGAGGACCGAACCGACUAAUGUUGAAAAAUUAGCGGAUGACUUGUGGCUGGGGGUGAAAGGCCAAUCAAACCGGGAGAUAGCUGGUUCUCCCCGAAAGCUAUUUAGGUAGCGCCUCGUGAAUUCAUCUCCGGGGGUAGAGCACUGUUUCGGCAAGGGGGUCAUCCCGACUUACCAACCCGAUGCAAACUGCGAAUACCGGAGAAUGUUAUCACGGGAGACACACGGCGGGUGCUAACGUCCGUCGUGAAGAGGGAAACAACCCAGACCGCCAGCUAAGGUCCCAAAGUCAUGGUUAAGUGGGAAACGAUGUGGGAAGGCCCAGACAGCCAGGAUGUUGGCUUAGAAGCAGCCAUCAUUUAAAGAAAGCGUAAUAGCUCACUGGUCGAGUCGGCCUGCGCGGAAGAUGUAACGGGGCUAAACCAUGCACCGAAGCUGCGGCAGCGACACUAUGUGUUGUUGGGUAGGGGAGCGUUCUGUAAGCCUGUGAAGGUGGCCUGUGAGGGUUGCUGGAGGUAUCAGAAGUGCGAAUGCUGACAUAAGUAACGAUAAAGCGGGUGAAAAGCCCGCUCGCCGGAAGACCAAGGGUUCCUGUCCAACGUUAAUCGGGGCAGGGUGAGUCGACCCCUAAGGCGAGGCCGAAAGGCGUAGUCGAUGGGAAACAGGUUAAUAUUCCUGUACUUGGUGUUACUGCGAAGGGGGGACGGAGAAGGCUAUGUUGGCCGGGCGACGGUUGUCCCGGUUUAAGCGUGUAGGCUGGUUUUCCAGGCAAAUCCGGAAAACCAAGGCUGAGGCGUGAUGACGAAGCACUACGGUGCUGAAGCGACAAAUGCCCUGCUUCCAGGAAAAGCCUCUAAGCAUCAGGUAACAUCAAAUCGUACCCCAAACCGACACAGGUGGUCAGGUAGAGAAUACCAAGGCGCUUGAGAGAACUCGGGUGAAGGAACUAGGCAAAAUGGUGCCGUAACUUCGGGAGAAGGCACGCUGAUAUGUAGGUGAAGCGACUUGCUCGUGGAGCUGAAAUCAGUCGAAGAUACCAGCUGGCUGCAACUGUUUAUUAAAAACACAGCACUGUGCAAACACGAAAGUGGACGUAUACGGUGUGACGCCUGCCCGGUGCCGGAAGGUUAAUUGAUGGGGUUAGCGGUAACGCGAAGCUCUUGAUCGAAGCCCCGGUAAACGGCGGCCGUAACUAUAACGGUCCUAAGGUAGCGAAAUUCCUUGUCGGGUAAGUUCCGACCUGCACGAAUGGCGUAAUGAUGGCCAGGCUGUCUCCACCCGAGACUCAGUGAAAUUGAACUCGCUGUGAAGAUGCAGUGUACCCGCGGCAAGACGGAAAGACCCCGUGAACCUUUACUAUAGCUUGACACUGAACAUUGAGCCUUGAUGUGUAGGAUAGGUGGGAGGCUUUGAAGUGUGGACGCCAGUCUGCAUGGAGCCGACCUUGAAAUACCACCCUUUAAUGUUUGAUGUUCUAACGUUGGCCCGUAAUCCGGGUUGCGGACAGUGUCUGGUGGGUAGUUUGACUGGGGCGGUCUCCUCCUAAAGAGUAACGGAGGAGCACGAAGGUUGGCUAAUCCUGGUCGGACAUCAGGAGGUUAGUGCAAUGGCAUAAGCCAGCUUGACUGCGAGCGUGACGGCGCGAGCAGGUGCGAAAGCAGGUCAUAGUGAUCCGGUGGUUCUGAAUGGAAGGGCCAUCGCUCAACGGAUAAAAGGUACUCCGGGGAUAACAGGCUGAUACCGCCCAAGAGUUCAUAUCGACGGCGGUGUUUGGCACCUCGAUGUCGGCUCAUCACAUCCUGGGGCUGAAGUAGGUCCCAAGGGUAUGGCUGUUCGCCAUUUAAAGUGGUACGCGAGCUGGGUUUAGAACGUCGUGAGACAGUUCGGUCCCUAUCUGCCGUGGGCGCUGGAGAACUGAGGGGGGCUGCUCCUAGUACGAGAGGACCGGAGUGGACGCAUCACUGGUGUUCGGGUUGUCAUGCCAAUGGCACUGCCCGGUAGCUAAAUGCGGAAGAGAUAAGUGCUGAAAGCAUCUAAGCACGAAACUUGCCCCGAGAUGAGUUCU
rnacentral:rRNA from 1 species